rnacentral:rRNA from 1 species
AGUGAACGCUGGCGGUAGGCCUAACACAUGCAAGUCGAACGGCAGCACAGUAAGAGCUUGCUCUUACGGGUGGCGAGUUGCGUACGGGUGAUGAAUACAUCGGAAUUUACUUUUUCGUGGGGUAUAACGUAGGGAAACUUACGCUAAUACCGCAUACGACCUACGGGUGAAAGCAGGGGAUCUUCGGACCUUGCGUGAUUGUAUGAGCCGAUGUCGGAUUAGCUAGUUGGCGGGGUAAAGGCCCACCAAUGCGACGAUACGUAGCUGGUGUGAGAGGAUGAUCAGCCACACUAGAACUGAGACACGGUCCAGACUCCUACGGGAGGCAGCAGUGGGGAAUAUUGGACAAUGGGAGCAAGCCUGAUCCAGCCAUACCGCGUGGGUGGAGAAGGCCUUCGGGUUGUAAAGCUCUUUUGUUGGGAAAGAAAAGCAGCAGGUUAAUCGCCCGCUGUUCUGACGGUACCCAAAGAAUAAGCACCGGCUAACUUCGUG